rnacentral:rRNA from 1 species
CCUCCCAUCCGUGUCUAUUGUACCCUGUUGCUUCGGCGGGCCCGCCGCUUGUCGGCCGCCGGGGGGGCGCCUCUGCCCCCCGGGCCCGUGCCCGCCGGAGACCCCAACACGAACACUGUCUGAAAGCGUGCAGUCUGAGUUGAUUGAAUGCAAUCAGUUAAAACUUUCAACAAUGGAUCUCUUGGUUCCGGCAUCGAUGAAGAACGCAGCGAAAUGCGAUAACUAAUGUGAAUUGCAGAAUUCAGUGAAUCAUCGAGUCUUUGAACGCACAUUGCGCCCCCUGGUAUUCCGGGGGGCAUGCCUGUCCGAGCGUCAUUGCUGCCCUCAAGCCCGGCUUGUGUGUUGGGUCGCCGUCCCCCUCUCCGGGGGGACGGGCCCGAAAGGCAGCGGCGGCACCGCGUCCGAUCCUCGAGCGUAUGGGGCUUUGUCACAUGCUCUGUAGGAUUGGCCGGCGCCUGCCGACGUUUUCCAACCAUUCUUUCCAGGUUGACCUCGGAUCAGGUAGGGAUACCCGCUGAACUUAAGCAUA